rnacentral:rRNA from 1 species
AUGACGGUAGCUGACCAGAAAGCCACGGCUAACUACGUGCCAGCAGCCGCGGUAAUACGUAGGUGGCAAGCGUUGUCCGGAUUUAUUGGGCGUAAAGCGAGCGCAGGCGGUGAUUUAAGUCUGAUGUGAAAGCCCCCAGCUCAACUGGGGAGGGUCAUUGGAAACUGGAUCACUUGAGUGCAGAAGAGGAGAGUGGAAUUCCAUGUGUAGCGGUGAAAUGCGUAGAUAUAUGGAGGAACACCAGUGGCGAAGGCGGCUCUCUGGUCUGUAACUGACGCUGAGGCUCGAAAGCGUGGGUAGCAAACAGGAUUAGAUACCCUGGUAGUCCACGCCGUAAACGAUGAGUGCUAAGUGUUGGAGGGUUUCCGCCCUUCAGUGCUGCAGUUAACGCAUUAAGCACUCCGCCUGGGGAGUACGACCGCAAGGUUGAAACUCAAAGGAAUUGACGGGGGCCCGCACAAGCGGUGGAGCAUGUGGUUUAAUUCGAAGCAACGCGAAGAACCUUACCAGGUCUUGACAUCCUUUGACCGCCCUAGAGAUAGGGUUUCCCCUUCGGGGGCAAAGUGACAGGUGGUGCAUGGUUGUCGUCAGCUCGUGUCGUGAGAUGUUGGGUUAAGUCCCGUAACGAGCGCAACCCUUAUUGUUAGUUGCCAGCAUUG